CCCUCAUCGUCCUCCUGAGCAGACACAGGGCUAAUUCUUCUCCGUCCACGCAAGCCGAUCGGCACUUACGUACCGCCUGGCUCUUGCUCCAGCUCCUAAGUACCUCCAGGGAAGAAGAUUCUAUCCCACCCAGGAAAGAACCGCCUGGAAGGCAGACAAAAGAAAACAAUGUUUCACAGCAAGGACUGGAGCCCUGAAAAGUCUCUUGCCACCCGCCCAGCAAGGGUAGGGGUCCACAGUGCUGUGUUUUCCAGAAUCUUCCUCUGUAAGACUUGAGAAGGCUCUAAUGGCACUCAGCACAAAAGAUUCAGGGAACAAAAGGGCUGCUGUCCAUAAGGGGGGCCAUUUUGCAUUUGAGGAGAAAAUGGGAAGGGGCAGGCAUGGAAACUGCCACCGUCAGAGUCCACGUUGGCUUAUAUACCAAGGCAGAAACAGGACUUCUGAAGGUCACCGCUGGCCUCCAAUCACCGCCGUAGUAAGGCUUUCCUUGUGGCCGUUGUACGUGAGGCACAUUGCAACGUGGACUGGCCACGUUUCACCUGCCCAGUAGCCACAGGUGGCUCAUGGUCAGCUUACUGGACUUUGCAACUCUGGAUCGUUGCUACUCCAAGGGUGGCCUGCCACCCAGCCACCCCUGUACCGUCUGGUGGUUCACUAGAAAUGCGGAAUCUCAAGCCCUGAAUCAGAAUCUGGAUUUCAGCCAGACCCCCAGGUGGUCUACGUACGUAUUAAAGUUUGAGCAGCACUAUUGGCUGAAGGCAAACUGGGAGCUUGCAGAAAGCAGAAAGGAAUGCUCUCCUCUUACCUUCCUUCUUUGUGCCUCUUCCUCCCUCUGGCUUUCCAGAAGGUACCAGCCCUGGCUCCAUUUGAGACUCCUCUAGAGAGCCUGAAAAAUAUGAUACCUGGACUCCGCUCCAGAGAUCUUGAUUUAAUCGGUCCUGGGAGGAGCCCGGGCAACAGGUGUUGUUCAAGAAGUUCCACAGGUGACAGUGACGUACACCUGGGCAGAGAGUCACAGGCUAGCCCCACGCCCAACGCCGUAGCCUCGUUCGGUCCUGCCGUGCGACGGGGUGAAUACACCUGAACUCACAUCCUAGAGGGCUUUGGAGUAAGACAGGUCGAGCAAAGCAGCUCACGUAAGCAGUCACAGCUCUGUAAAAUUGCACAAAUACUCCUAAUUGUCCCACAGACUCCUAGUAAUCGAUGCCAUACGUGAAAAUAGUAUCCCUCGGAGCAGCUGAUUCCCCUGGUGUGAUGAAAUAUGGAGGGAAUAUACAAUUCAUACAUUUAUUAAAUAACUAAUUGUCCUAAUAAAAGUACCCCUGUUCAACAUA